GAGCCAGUGCAGUGUAGUGGUUUGAGCACUGGACUGCAAUUAUGGAGACCAGGGUUCGAAUCCCAGCUAGGCCA